UUCGCAAUGCCCGAAAGGGUGACGAAGCGACGCCGCGUGUGGGAAGAAGGCCUUCGGGUUGUAAACCACUGUCGGGAGUUAAGAAAUGCAAGGAUAUUAAUAGUGUCUUUGUUUGACUAAGGCUCCGGAGGAAGCCACGGCUAACUCUGUGCCAGCAGCCGCGGUAAUACAGAGGCGGCAAGCGUUGUUCGGAAUUAUUGGGCGUAAAGAGCACGUAGGCGGCUAUGUAAGUCGGUUGUGAAAGCCUUCCGCUCAACGGAAGAACAGCAUCCGAUACUACAUGGCUUGAGUGCGGGAGGGGAGAGUGGAACUUCUGGUGGAGUGGUGAAAUGCGUAGAUAUCAGAAGGAACGCCGGCGGCGAAAGCGGCUCUCUGGCCCAUAACUGACGCUGAGUGUGCGAAAGCUAGGGGAGCAAACGGGAUUAGAUACCCCGGUAGUCCUAGCCGUAAACGAUGGGCACUAAGUAGAGGGGUUUU
rnacentral:rRNA from 1 species